GUAAUAGAUCAACAUCCACUAAAACAAGGAUUGAAAC
rfam:Microscilla marina ATCC 23134 1099589004080, whole genome shotgun sequence.